CCCUACGGGGGCAGCAGUGAGGAAUAUUGGUCAAUGGGCGCGAGCCUGAACCAGCCAAGUAGCGUGAAGGAUGACUGCCCUACGGGUUGUAAACUUCUUUUAUAAAGGAAUAAAGUGAGGCACGUGUGCCUUUUUGUAUGUACUUUAUGAAUAAGGAUCGGCUAACUCCGUGCCAGCAGCCGCGGUAAUACGGAGGAUCCGAGCGUUAUCCGGAUUUAUUGGGUUUAAAGGGUGCGUAGGCGGACUGUCAAGUCAGCGGUAAAAUACGGGGGCUCAACCUCCGCCCGCCGUUGAAACUGACGGUC
rnacentral:rRNA from 1 species